UACGGGGGGAGCAAGCGUUGUUCGGAUUUACUGGGCGUAAAGGGCGCGUAGGCGGUCAGCACAAGUCAGUUGUGAAAUCUCCGGGCUUAACUCGGAACGGUCAACUGAUACUGUGCGACUAGAGUGCAGAAGGGGCAACUGGAAUUCUCGGUGUAGCGGUGAAAUGCGUAGAUAUCGAGAGGAACACCUGCGGCGAAGGCGGGUUGCUGGGCUGACACUGACGCUGAUGCGCGAAAGCUAGGGGAGCGAACGGG
rnacentral:rRNA from 1 species